GUUAAGCGACUAAGCGUACACGGUGGAUGCCCUGGCAGUCAGAGGCGAUGAAGGGCGUGCUAAUCUGCGAUAAGCGCCGGUAAGGUGAUAUGAACCGUUAUAACCGGCGAUACCCGAAUGGGGAAACCCAGUGUGACUCGUCACACUAUCAUUAACUGAAUCCAUAGGUUAAUGAGGCGAACCGGGGGAACUGAAACAUCUAAGUACCCCGAGGAAAAGAAAUCAACCGAGAUUCCCCCAGUAGCGGCGAGCGAACGGGGAGGAGCCCAGAGCCUGAAUCAGCAUGUGUGUUAGUGGAAGCGUCUGGAAAGGCGCGCGAUACAGGGUGACAGCCCCGUACACAAAAGCGCAUGUGCUGUGAGCUCGAUGAGUAGGGCGGGACACGUGGUAUCCUGUCUGAAUAUGGGGGGACCAUCCUCCAAGGCUAAAUACUCCUGACUGACCGAUAGUGAACCAGUACCGUGAGGGAAAGGCGAAAAGAACCCCGGCGAGGGGAGUGAAAAAGAACCUGAAACCGUGUACGUACAAGCAGUGGGA
rnacentral:rRNA from 1 species